UACGUAGGGUGCAAGCGUUUGUCCGGAAUUAUUGGGCGUAAAGAGCUUGUAGGCGGUCUGUCGCGUCUGCUGUGAAAAUCCGGGGCUCAACCCCGGACUUGCAGUGGGUACGGGCAGACUAGAGUGUGGUAGGGGAGACUGGAAUUCCUGGUGUAGCGGUGAAAUGCGCAGAUAUCAGGAGGAACACCGAUGGCGAAGGCAGGUCUCUGGGCCACUACUGACGCUGAGAAGCGAAAGCAUGGGGGAGCGAACAGG
rnacentral:rRNA from 1 species